AGAGUUUGAUCCUGGCUCAGAGUUAACGCUGGCGGCGUGCCUAACACAUGCAAGUCGAGCGAGCUUGUAGCCAUACAAGUUAGCGGCAAACGGGUGAGUAACACAUGGGAAACCUCCCUCAAAAUGGGGAAUAUCUCCGAGAAAUCGGAGCUAAUACCGCAUAAGACCACAGUCUGGCAUCAGACAGGGGUAAAAGCAGUAAUGCGUUUUGAGAUGGUCCUGUGUCCUAUCAGCUUGUUGGUGAGGUAACGGCUCACCAAGGCUAUGACGGGUAUCCGGCCUGAAAGGGUGAACGGACACACUGGAACUGAGACACGGUCCAGACUCCUACGGGAGGCAGCAGUGGGGAAUUUUGGACAAUGGGGGAAACCCUGAUCCAGCGACGCCGCGUGAAGGAUGAAGGCCUUCGGGUUGUAAACUUCUUUUGGAGGGGACGAAUAAAUUGACGGUACCCUCAGAAAAAGCCACGGCUAACUACGUGCCAGCAGCCGCGGUAAUACGUAGGUGGCGAGCGUUACUCGGAAUUACUAGGCGUAAAGCGUAUGUAGGCGGUUGUAUAAGUCUAUGGUGAAAUUUCCUGGCUCAACUGGGAAGGGACAUAGAUACUGUAUGGCUUGAGUGUUGGAGGGGGAGACGGAAUUCCUGGUGUAGCGGUGAAAUGCGUAGAUAUCAGGAGGAACACCGAUGGCGAAAGCAGUCUCCUGGCCAAAUACUGACGCUGAGGUACGAAAGCUAGGGUAGCAAACAGGAUUAGAUACCCUGGUAGUCCUAGCUGUAAACGAUGUUCACUAGAUGUGGGAGGUAUCGACCCCUUCCGCGUCGACGCUAACGCAUUAAGUGAACCGCCUGGGGAGUACGGCCGCAAGGUUGAAACUCAAAUGAAUUGACGG
rnacentral:rRNA from 1 species